rnacentral:rRNA from 1 species
AUUGAACGCUGGCGGCAUGCUUUACACAUGCAAGUCGAACGGCCGGACGAGCUGCUUCCUCGCGUGACGUUACCAACGGGUGAGUGAUACAUCGGUACAUGCCCGAUCUUUGGGGCUAGCUCGACUACGGCCGGCUUAAUCCCACAUCCGACCUGAUAGUGAACGCGGUGGAUCUUCGGAGCUCGCGCUAUUGGCGCGCCCGAUGGCAGAUUAGCUAGUUGGUGUGGUAAAGGCCUACCAAGGCGACGAUCUGUAGCGGGUCUGAGAGGACGACCGGCCACACUGGGACUGAGACACGGCCCAGACUCCUACGGGAGGCAGCAGUGGGGAAUCUUGGACAAUGGGCGAAAGCCUGAUGCAGCAAUGCCGCGUGAGUGAUGAAGGCCUUCGGAUUGUAAAGCACUUUUGGCGGGAACGAAAAGGACUGUGAGAAUAUCACGGUGCGAUGACGGUACCCGCAGAAUAAGCACCGGCUAACUACGUG